CAUCUAGGCGGUUAUUCAAGCUUGGUGUGAAAUCCCGGGGCUUAACUCCGGAACUGCAUUGAGAACUAGAUAACUUGAGUCACUGAAGGGCAAUCAGAAUUCCAGGUGUAGGGGUGAAAUCUGUAGAUAUCUGGAAGAGUACCAAUGGCGAAGGCAGAUUACCGGCAGAUGACUGACGCUGAAGUGCGAAGGUGCGGGGAGCAAACA
rnacentral:rRNA from 1 species